CCUACGGGAGGCAGCAGUGAGGAAUAUUGGUCAAUGGCCGGAAGGCUGAACCAGCCAUGCCGCGUGAAGGUCAGUGCCCUAUGGGCGUUAAACUUCUUUUGUGCGGGAGCAAUAAUGGUCACGUGUGGCCAGACGAGAGUACCGUACGAAUAAGCAUCGGCUAACUCCGUGCCAGCAGCCGCGGUAAUACGGGGGAUGCAAGCGUUAUCCGGAUUUAUUGGGUUUAAAGGGUGCGUAGGCUGGGAGGUAAGUCAGCGGUGAAAUGCCCCCGCUCAACGGGGUGAAGUGCCAUUGAUACUGGCUGGCUGGAAUGCGGAUGCCGUGGGAGGAAUGUGUGGUGUAGCGGUGAAAUGCAUAGAUAUCACACAGAACACCGAUUGCGAAGGCAUCUCACGAAUCCGCGAUUGACGCUGAGGCACGAAAGCGUGGGUAUCAAACAGGAUUAGAUACCCGGGUAGUC
rnacentral:rRNA from 1 species